UACAGAGGUGGCAAGCGUUGUUCGGAAUUACUGGGCGUAAAGGGCGCGUAGGCGGUCUUCUAAGUCUUGUGUGAAAUCCCUCGGCUUAACUGAGGAACUGCACGGGAUACUGGAUGACUUGAGUUCGGGAGAGGGAAGCGGAAUUCCGGGUGUAGCGGUGAAAUGCGUAGAUAUCCGGAGGAACACCGGUGGCGAAGGCGGCUUUCUGGGCCUGUUCUGACGCUGAGGAGCGAAAGCGUGGGGAGCAAACCGG
rnacentral:rRNA from 1 species